UACCCGUGGCUCGAGUGGUGACCAUUAUUAUUGAGUCUAAAGCGUUCGUAGCUGGUUUGGAUAGUUCGUGCUUAAAUUGUUCAGUUUAACUGGACAACAUGGUGCGAAUACUUCCUGACUAGAGGCCGGGAGGAGGGCUGGGAACUUUUCGGGUAGGAGUAAAAUCCUUUAAGCCGAAAAAGACCACCAAUAGCGAAGGCACAGCCCUAGAACGGACCUGACGGUGAGGGACGAAGGCUAGGAGAACGAACCGG
rnacentral:rRNA from 1 species